UAAUAAAAAUUGCCAAAAAAAUCACUCACCCCACCUUGCGAGUAUUCCGUGGCCACUCAGUGAAAAAUGCUCCGUACGCACAGCAUCACUGUUAAAAUUAUUCUUACAGUUGCAAAAAAUACUAAAAAAGAGGGAAGAUGCAGGAACUGGAUAAAAACACAGGAGAAAAAAUAAUAAUAAUAAAUAAAUAAAUAACUAGUGCAAAUUUUAAAGUAUGGAAAUCAAGAAGUUUCCCCACAAAAUUCGAAAAUCAGGCCUCAGAAUAAAAUGCCUUUAUGUUAUUUAUAAAGACGAGACGAACCGAUACAAUGGCAAAGAACCAUAAUACUCGUGUACCUCUAGACAGCUAUUGUCAGGUUGGUUCAAGUUGCUGAGUCUCCAGUUAGAUAGAGAUCAUGAAUUAGCAAAACUCAGCAGUAUCUCACUUGUUAGUCGCCAAGAAAUGAGCAAUAACUUCAAAUUUCAGACAGUGCCGCUGGUCUUCCAAGUUUAAAUUGCUCUCUUUACAUUCACGCAUAAGCCACAAUCCAGAAAGUCCCAAUCUAGUAGUUUAAGUGGGGAGUGUGAUUUAUUGUUACCUUCACAAGGUGUACAGAAGCCACAGAGAAUAAAGUAAAUUAAUAUGAAAUUCUUGAAUUACUAUGACCGUGGAGUCUAUUAACAACAUAGCAAAGAGAAUUGAUUUUGACAACUCAAAUUUGGGAAUAACUUCAUUGCCAAAAUAAGGGAAAAAAAUGUAAGUAAAUUAAGAAAAAUAGAGUAAUGUUACACAAGCAUCGACCCUCCCACUACCGGCCAGAAACCUUCAAAAUGAAAAAGAAAAAAGGUCAUAAAGGGUAAGAAAGAAUUUUUCAGACGUGACGUGAAGCUAUUUAUGUGUUAAAAGUUCUAGAAUAAUUUGUAAUCUUCAAAACUCGAAGGAAUUCAAAUUCAAAUUGAACACUCAACCUACAAAGGUUUCAUUCAUUGAAUGGUCAAAGGAUAAGAUUCCUAAUUCAAGUUGUAUACUCAACAAGCAAGUUGGAAUCUAGAAAUUAACAUGGACAGCAAUCUGAUGUUCACAAAACAGCUGGAAUCCGAAAAUUAAAGCAGCAGCCAAUUCACAUUCAAGUGUUCAAACUAUGCAAGCUGGAAAUUAACUUUAGGCAGUGGCCAUUCACACUUUUGAUGGUUAAAACAUAGCUGUAAAGACAUGUUUUCCAGCUGCAAAUGGAGAAGAAAAACAACCUUUAUCUAGUUGUAAUUGUAAAAAAUUUUUAGGACUAGUUUACUCAAUAUUUUCUAUAAAUAGGAAGGCAUCCAACUAGUGUCAUGUAUGUAGAAGAAGUGAGAAAAAACCUCUCAAAAAAUAGAGAGAAAGAGUGUGCUGUAACAACUCAUCUGUAAUCCCGAAAUUUCAUUAGUAAAAUCUCAUAUUUCUCCAAUCUCUAUCCUUCUACAUCCAAUAUUAUGUAGAUAGCUUUAAACUAUCCAUUCAUAAUUUUCUCACUUGGCUAGGUAAAUAAAUUAGACCAUUUAUUCCUAGUUAGUGCAAAGUUAUUUGGGGAUUACAUGGCAUCCAAGCUUGCAUGGCAGCCUCAAGCCUACAAAUUUCCCUAUGAAGGAAAAGCUGAUUCAUCGCCAAUUUCACCAUUCAAGUCACAGAUUCUGCUGCACUGUAUUCAGUAUCGGAUUUGCAAGUAUAGAGGCAAAGACCAUUCAAUUAGAAAUGUUUUCCCUUUCUUACUAGAAUGUUUGAUUCAUCGGAUCAAAUGCACUAGCCUGAAUCAUUCUGGUAUUAAUGAAAUAUUAGAAAACCAAUCCACC
rnacentral:lncRNA from 1 species